UGAAAAGGAAUCUGGACAUGGAGUAUAAUAAAGAAAGGGGGAUAUCAUGAUCUCUUCAUAAACCAAGAAAUUCAAGCUUAGAAAGGCAAGGACCCACUUAGAAUUAAAUGGUGCUAGUAGCGGCCUCUCUUCCCAGUUGUGACAACCAAGAAUGUCUCUGGACAUUGGCAGAUGUUUCCUGGGAAACAAAAUCCCCCUGCCAUUGUGAAGCACUGAUCUACACAGGUACCAUCCAGGACAUUGUACCCAUGUACCCAUUUCACCUACCCUCUAGCUGCAAGGUGUUCCUGGCCAUAGCUCCUUGCCCUGAGGACACAUUUGAUUUUUUAAAAGG